UAAAUUAUGGAUUAGCCUAUCUUAGAAUUAAUAUUUACUUCCUUUUGAGAUAUAGAUACUUCAUUAAUUUAACUGAUAAAGUCUUCUGUUUUCCUUAAAAAAGAAAAUAUUAACUCUAUAUGGCAUGUGAAUAUGCACAAUAUAAUGUAUUAUUUAUUGACUAAACUAUCUCAAAUGAGAGAACAUGAUGUAUGUGUCCCAAGCAGGUGAUAAUCCUCACAUUUUAACCAAUUUUAACAAACCUUAGGUUAAACAUAGGUAAUAAAACAUAGUUAAAACUCUGUCAUCCCACAAUAUUGACAUGAAAGUUCUUUAUAUCAGGGAAUCAGGGCUUCCCAAGCAAGAGAAAUGGCUUGAUGCAGCAACGAUUUUGAGGAAUGUUGGUUUGGCAGUAGGUUACAGAUCCGAAUGGAGAUGCCUGAGACACUCCACUCAGGAAUCCAGUUAGGGAUUUCUUUGGUACUGAGAGGUGAGUAAAUAAGAUGCUAAAAUAUGGUGGCAUCAGUGAACACAAGGAUUAAACAGCUAAGAGUGAAGUGUAAAAUGUUAAGUUGAAUAAGCGGCUUUAGGGCAUUACUGGCCAGUGGGUUUUUUCUUCCUAACUUUUCUUGCUCUUUAUUUGUCUCUUCUCCCUUCAGGGCUGGCACUGUGUCUGGGCAAACACAUACAGUGGGUGAAGUUUGUGGUGUCCCUAGCCCGACUUAAUGCAAUCUUAUCCUUUCAAGCAUCCAGUUCUCCAACUUCUCUACUCACUCUAUUCCUGAGAAUUAAUCAGGACUCGAGAAUUUCUGUAGCUGUAUGAAAUUUUCUUCUUUAAAGAUUUUAUUUUUCCUUUUUCUCCCCAAAGCCCGCCAGUAUUUAGUUGUGCAUUUUUAGUUGUGGGUUCCUCCAGUUGUGGCAUGUGGGAUGCCGCCUCAGCAUGGCCUGAUGAGCAGUGCCAUGUCGGUGCCCAGGAUUUGAACUGGUGAAACCCUUGGCCGCCAAAGCGGACCACUCGAACUUAACCACUCGGCCACGAGGCCAGCCGGAAAAUAGUAAGUUUUUUCUUUUUUUGUUCUUUUGAGGAUGAUUAGCCCUGAGCUAACUGCUGCUGAUCCUCCUCUUUUUGCUGAGGAAGACUGGUCCUGAGCUAACAUCCAUGCCCAUCUUCUUCCUCUUUAUACGUGGGACUCCUACCACAGCAUGGCUUGCCAAGCGGUGCCAUGUUCGCACCCAGGAUCCAAACCCGCGAACCUCAGGCCGCCAAAAUGGAACGUGCACACUUAACCGCUGCGCCACCAGGCCAGCCCCUCUGUGAAAUUUUAAUUCAGCACAUUACCUGUCUUAGGGAUUGAGGGAGGUAAAGAUGUGGAAUCUUACCUAAAAUCAUAUAAAAUGAAAUUUCCACAAGACUUUGGAUGCCGUAUAAACACUUUUCUUUACAGAUAAAGAAAUAGAGUCCCCAAGAAGUGAAAUGGUUUGCCAGAGAUGGAUAAACUGGGAUAAACGAUCUUUUGUCCAGAUAGAGAAAUUUCAGAUAUCAAGCAUUAUAUGAGAGAAUAGCAAAGAAAUCAACACAUCUGCAUUUCAAGGCCAUCUUUAGCUAAACACUAAUUAGUCUUUACAAAUAUACGUGUAUAUUUAAUAUGGCAAAAUAGUUGCAUACAAUAAAAGAUACAUGUACAAUGUAUAUGCAAUUGAUGUGUACAGGUCAAAGAUACAGUCAUUUGUCAUUAAUUAAAAAAGAAAAAAAAGAAAAUCCAGUAUCAUGAAAACUAAACUGGAAAUAAUUUCAGAUUUUAUAGAAAGCUUGGGUAGGAUCCAAAAUAAAAAAGAGUCAAUGAAUUUAGCCAUCUUGCUAUUGAUUUUUCUAGCACAGCAAAACAUAAUUUAGUUGAAUGCUUCGCAGACUCUUAAUGAGUUUAUCCAAGUCAAGAUAUUUUUCUUUAUUGGAAAAAAAUCUGUCUGACAAUUGUUUUCUAAAUUGCAAGAGAAUAAAAAGUAGGGGCUAUUUACAUGGAAUUGUACUAUUUGGUUCCUCUUCCAGUAUCAUUUCCAUUGGGAAUAAAAGACAGAUAACAUUUUAAACCAACAGAAAGCUUUGGUUUUCUCUUAUUAAAAAUAAUUAAGAACAUGUUUUUACAAUAAGAAACACAGAAGCCUCAGGUGAAGAAGAAAAAUUUCUUGACCAGUGUUUCAUUAACAAUAAAACUUGUUUUUUGAGCACAUAAAGGGAAGAGAGCAAAAAGCAUCCAGAAGAAGAGCACUUUUAUGUUGCCUUUGGAGUAUGGUUUCCACAUGUGCCUGGCGUCUGAUCCCUCUUCCUAAUGAAUGCCAUUACAGUGCAAGAGAGAAGGAAGAGCGAAAAGUGGAACCUUCUCUCUGCAGUCAAACCAGCGGUCAGAUGCAGCAUGAUGAAAUUCUGUGGGUACGGUUCAGGACAGGGUAGUCGGAGAGGGGAAAGCAGACUCAAAAAAGUAAGAAGAUGAGGAUGAACUUCUUUGCAGAUUCGUGGUAAAACAUCUAAAGAUUGGAGUGCUCUACGUAUCAAAAUCUGAGCAUGUUUAUAAUAGAACUAUUUGCUUUCCUAAGCUGCUUUUUCAACGACUCAUUGCUUCAUUUCCUUGCUGCUUCUUUGGAUUUCCCCAAGCUCUGUCUCUGAGAUCUGGGUCCCUCCACAGCUUGCACUUCUAGGGAGAAGGAGAUUCCCCCAACUUUGAGGAUUAAAGAAGACUGAAAUUGCCCAGGAAUUUGCAUUCCCUGAAUCCAGCUGCCAUAUUUAGGUAGCCGUCUUUUCAAUGGGAAUAGUGUGGUGAGACGCAUUGUCACAGUCCGUCCUGGGUUAGCGCUUUCCCUAGGAGAAAAGAUUCUCUAUAUUAUGUGUCAACCUUACAGCUCCCAGGUGUCUGUUCCAUUUCACCUUCCUUCUGAAUCACUUAAUAUUCACAUUACAAUUUACUGAGUUUUAUUUUGUUUUUAAUUUCCUUUUUCUUUGAUUGGCAUUUGGGUGAUUCCUUUUGUAAAUGAUUAAGGUGAGCCCUGAUUCAUUUUGUAAAACCACAGAGUAACUCCCAAUUAAUACAUUCAAGCUGGCGCCUGCGGAGAUCUCUCACUAUAAGCAUGAGAAACAAAGAAACUCUUUGGGACAGGGUGUGAAGUGGAUGAAGGUUACCCACUGGGGCUCUUUGGCCUGUGGAUGCUCUCUUCGUUGUGGUGGGAGUAGGCGUGGGGCUUUGCUGGUUUGUUUUCGGGAACUCAAUUAUGCUUUGAUUAGUGAAAAUUCUUUGAGGCCUCACAAAGCCUUGAGUCAUAUUGCUGGUUUCCAGGGAGGUCAGAACUUUGGAUCUCCUGUGCACUUUUUCUCCUCCUCCUCCUCUGUCUCUUCUCCCGCCUGUUCCUCUCCUCUUCCUGUUCCUUCUGACUCUUCUUCCUCUUCCUCUCCUUCUACCGCUCUUUUCUCCUCAAUGAAUCUCUCAAGGGGAAGUUGGAGGAGUGGCCUAGUCAUUAUCCAACCUCUAAAUCUCCUUGAUAAUUUUAUUAUAAUGGGCGGUGACAAAGUAAAUAAUCUCUGUUGGCUAAAUUUAUUUUAAUGAAAUUAGUUUGAAUGUAUAAACAAGUGCAGUCUCACCACUGAAGUUAAUUUAACAUUCUAAUGAGAUGCCACUACUUCCAAACCCACAGUGAUUGCCUUGUGAUUUCAAGGACUUUAAGCAUGUUUGCCUAAGGAGGCUAUGACUAAUGCUUCUUAUUUCCCUGGAAAAAUUAUUCAAACAAAGAGAUAAGGCUUCUGUAACCUAUGUGUGAAAGACCCAAAGUCAUGGUGUCUCUGGUCUCUGUGCUCUGAUAGCCGGGUUGACUGACCGAUCCGCGCGGCUAAGCCGUCCUCCCCUUCCUUCCCUAAGUCCCAUAUUUACUUCUUCUGGAAAGAAAGACCUUCCCCAGCAAAGGAGCCCAAUUUUUUUGGUACCUCUAGGAAGAAAAGCUUUUGGAAAUAGGGCAUUCUGGCUAAACAGAUUUGCCAUUAUCUUUUCACAUUAUGCCAUGCAAAUGCCAUUACAUUUUCUUACAUGAAAUAAGUUAAAAAUAUUGUGUGACAGUUGUAACUGACUGAUAACUUUUCUAGUCAGAAGAUGAGAAGUUCUAAAUACUUAUCAAAAUAAUGACAAAGUUCUACAAGAGAUAUUUAACUAUGUAUAUGUGUGUGUGAGGGGAUAUGUUGUAUAUAUACACACAUUUUAAAAAUCAGAUAUUGCCCAAUAGUGAAUUUGUUAGAGUUUACUUGGCCUUUCAACUCUUUUCUCUAAGUUACUAUUAUAUUCUGGAACUAACUAAGAUCAGAAAAAUUACCAGAAUGGCUCACUAUCAUGCAUAUAUAAAUUAUUAAAUGAUAAUAUAUUUGUUAAAAUAAAAAUUCAAAAUUUGAGUCAGGAAACAUAACUUUGUCUUUUGUUUUCUUUUUUCUGUUUUUUCAACAUUUGCAGUCUCACCUGGUCCUGCUUCACUUUCCUUUUCAUAAUGCUUCUGCCCUAAACUUCUCACUUGAGUGACAUGUCUCAUAGCACACUGUCACUGGACAUCGGCACUUGGGUUUCUUACUGGCUAAACUUCAGCCUGCCCACGACGUGUAUGACCUCUGACCACCUGCCUUUCUUCUGCAGCAUGCUUGUGUAGCACCACACAAAUCCACUAACACUCACAUUCCACACCUCUUAUUGAACUUCUCUUUCUCAUUUUGGUGAGAGGCAAUGCCACCCAGGGAAAGAAAUGUAUGAUUUUUUUCCUCUACUUCAUCCUCAUACUUCUCAAUCAAUUACCCAUCAAAUCCCGUCAGCCAACAACUGCAGUUCAAAGGCAUGUGGUUCAUUGAUAAAGACAGACAGACCACGUGAUGGGCCAUGAAACAACUCAUAGUCAAUUUAUAAGAAUGGAAGUCAUGCCAAAUAUCUUUUCUGACCACUAUAAAAUUAAAUUAGAAAUCAGUUACACUUUAUUGAUAUUCAAUCAAUCAAAUUAUAGCAAGAUAUUUGGAGAAAUCUCAAAUCUUUGGAAAUUAGGCAGCAAACUUCUGAAUAACCCAUGGGUAAAAGCAUAAGUUACACAGGAUAUUAAAAAGUAUUGGAACUGAAAGACCAUGAAAAUACAAGGUAUCAAGUUGUGGGACACAGCUAAAGCAGCACAUAGGGGAUAUUUGUACUUUUUAAUGCUUAUAUUAGUAAACUUUGUGAAAGUGGAUAUUGAUUACUGGGCAUCCAGGUGUCUGGAACAUUGUAAUGUAAUAAGCACUUAAUGGAUAUUUAUUUAUGGAAUCAACUUUCUUAUAUAUCAUUUCUAGUUUCUGACAUUUUCUAACUCUCUAUGUUCUCUCUUAUUCAACUCUUUUUUUGUUGAUCUCAUUUGAAAAAUGUGUAAAAGUUAGAAACUGCAGCACAAUUCUCUCUCACUUCUGGGGUUCAUUUUAUAUUUCCCAAUUAUGAGAGUAGUGAUUUCUUUUCAAGUGUAUUUAAUUUUCUUUUCCUGUAUGGAAGUGCAAUAAUCCACCUUCAAAUAGUUAUUAACAAAACUUCCUAUUUAGCUUCGUUUUCUAUCUACAUACAUUGUAUGAGAAGAAUAUUUGAGAUACAGGUAAUACAAUUAAGAGAAGGUAAAAUUUUUACUAGUUUAUUACAAACAGACAACUGAAUAAAGAUAUAAGCAUUAAGGAUAGAAUUAUUCCUGGAAAGAAGAAUACAUUGUAUCAGCAUAAAUUCCAUCUGUUGUUGGGAAAGUAUUUGAAACCCUAGGUUCUACUAUUUGUGAGCUAAUGACAUCACUUUUUUCCUAGGCAUUAUGUUGAUGUUUGACAUUGAUUGAUUGUAAUUUGUACCUGCCAAUUCUGUAUUCUUUUGUCAUUGACUUUCUUUGUAACUUUAGAGGUAAAGUUUUACAUGUCGAGUGAUCUCAAUAAAUAUUAAUACACAUUGA
rnacentral:lncRNA from 1 species